AGAGCACUACAAAGAUUGCUAUUGAAUACCAAAUAAUUUAAAAUAGUGGAACUUUAAUUAUGUUAAAUAAAUGUAAUGCUGUGUGCCAAUGGUCCUUAUCAGAAUGGAUACUGAAAAAUAUUAACUGAGGAAUGAUUGAUUAUGGAUAUUGACAAUAUUGGAAAUGGUAUUAAAUCGUGAUGAAAACAAAGAUAAAGAAGUUCUGCUUUCGGGAAUUUCACCACUAAAUUUGUACUUCCUUCUGAAAAGGUUUUAGACGGUGUAACUGUAUUAUAAAAAUCUAUUUGAAAUAAAUAACUAA